GAUCCUGGCUCAGGAUGAACGCUAGCUACAGGCUUAACACAUGCAAGUCGAGGGGCAGCAUGGACUCAGCUUCGCUGAGUUUGAUGGCGACCGGCGCACGGGUGAGUAACGCGUAUCCAACCUGCCCUUUACUCCGGGAUAGUCUCCUGAAAGGGAGUUUAAUACCGGAUGUGUUUGUCUUUCCGCAUGGGAGCGACAAAUAAAGAUUGAUUGGUAAAGGAUGGGGAUGCGUCCCAUUGG
rnacentral:rRNA from 1 species